rnacentral:tRNA from 1 species
UGGCUCAGUUGGUAGAGCAAUGAUGUUUGCAACGCCAGGGUUGUGGGUUCGAUUCCCAC